UACGAAGGGAGCUAGCGUUGUUCGGAAUCACUGGGCGUAAAGCGCACGUAGGCGGAUUUGCCAGUCAGGGGUGAAAUCCCGGGGCUCAACCUCGGAACUGCCCUUGAUACAGCAAGUCUUGAGUUCGAGAGAGGUGGGUGGAAUUCCUAGUGUAGAGGUUAAAUUCGUAGAUAUUAGGAAGAACACCGGUGGCGAAGGCGGCUCACUGGUCCGGUACUGACGCUGAGGUGCGAAAGCGUGGGGAGCAAACAGG
rnacentral:rRNA from 1 species